rnacentral:rRNA from 1 species
UCAUCAUGGCCCUUACGGCCAGGGCUACACACGUGCUACAAUGGUCGGUACAAAGGGUUGCUACACAGCGAUGUGAUGCUAAUCUCAAAAAGCCGAUCGUAGUCCGGAUUGGAGUCUGCAACUCGACUCCAUGAAGUCGGAAUCGCUAGUAAUCGCGGAUCAGAAUGCCGCGGUGAAUACGUUCCCGGGCCUUGUACACACCGCCCGUCACACCAUGGGAGUUUGUUGCACCAGAAGUAGCUAGCCUAACUGCAAAGAGGGCGGUUACCACGGUGUGGCCGAUGACUGGGGUG